rnacentral:rRNA from 1 species
ACCGGCGCACGGGUGAGUAACGCGUAUGCAACCUACUUACAACAGGGGAAUAACCCGUUGAAAGACGGACUAAUACCCCAUAACACAGGGAUCCCGCAUGGGAAUAUUUGUUAAAGAUUUAUCGGUUGUAGAUGGGCAUGCGUUCCAUUAGCUAGUUGGUGAGGUAACGGCUCACCAAGGCAACGAUGGAUAGGGGAACUGAGAGGUUUAUCCCCCACACUGGUACUGAGACACGGACCAGACUCCUACGGGAGGCAGCAGUGAGGAAUAUUGGUCAAUGGGCGCAAGCCUGAACCAGCCACGUCGCGUGAAGGAAGACGGCCCUACGGGUUGUAAACUUCUUUUGUAAGGGAAUAAAGUGUAGUACGUGUACUAUUUUGCAUGUACCUUACGAAUAAGGAUCGGCUAACUCCGUGCCAGCAGCCGCGGUAAUACGGAGGAUCCGAGCGUUAUCCGGAUUUAUUGGGUUUAAAGGGUGCGCAGGCGGGAGAUUAAGUCGGCGGUGAAAUUUUGCAGCUCAACUGUAAAAGUGCCUUCGAAACUGGUUUCCUUGAGUGUAGAUGAAGUAGGCGGAAUUUGUGGUGUAGCGGUGAAAUGCAUAGAUAUCACGAGGAACUCCGAUUGCGCAGGCAGCUUACUAAACUACUACUGACGCUCAGGCACGAAGGCGUGGGGAUCAAACAGGAUUAGAUACCCUGGUAGUCCACGCA